UCUUAUGAAUGAGUGAAGAAAGUGGUUUCUUGAGAUGAAAUCUAUUCCUGCUGAAGAUGUUGUGAA
rnacentral:pre_miRNA from 1 species